CACCAGCGCCACGAGUGGCACUCGCGUUUAUUGGGCCUAAAGCGUCCGUAGCAGGUUUCUUAAAUUUCUUGUGAAAUUGCCAGGCUUAACUUGGCAGUGUGCAGGGAACACUGGGAGACUAGAGACCGGGAGGGGUAAGAGGUAUUCCUGAGGGAGCGGUAAAAUGCUAUAAUCUCAGGAGGACCACCUGUGGCGAAGGCGUCUUACUAGAACGGAUCUGACUGUGAGGGACGAAAGCUAGGGGAGCAAA
rnacentral:rRNA from 1 species